rnacentral:rRNA from 1 species
CCUACGGGGUGCUGCAGUGAGGAAUAUUGGUCAAUGGGCGGGAGCCUGAACCAGCCAAGUCGCGUGAGGGAAGACGGUCCUAUGGAUUGUAAACCUCUUUAGGCGGGGAGCAAUGCCGGGCACGCGUGCCCGGAGGGAGAGUACCCGCAGAAUAAGCAUCGGCUAACUCCGUGCCAGCAGCCGCGGUAAUACGGAGGAUGCGAGCGUUAUCCGGAUUUAUUGGGUUUAAAGGGUGCGUAGGCGGAUUUUUAAGUCAGCGGUAAAAUGUCCGGGCUCAACCCGGGCCGGCCGUUGAAACUGGGGAGCUUGAGUGGGCGAGAAGUAUGCGGAAUGCGUGGUGUAGCGGUGAAAUGCAUAGAUAUCACGCAGAACUCCGAUUGCGAAGGCAGCAUACCGGCGCCCGACUGACGCUGAGGCACGAAAGCGUGGGGAUCGAACAGGAUUAGAUACCCGUGUAGUC